rnacentral:misc_RNA from 1 species
CUCUCCACCUACAUCUCUUGUUAUUGAACCAUCCCCGACCAUGUCUUCCAUUUCACCUCCUGGUCCACUAGUACUUAGAAAAAGUACUAGACAGGUUCAUAAACCUUCUUGGCUUAAUGAUUUCGUUGCUAUGAUUCACUGUGACAAUCCUCUACCAACUUCCACAGCUUCCAUCUCCACUGGUUCAUUGGUUCUGCCUCAUCACCAAGGUAUAGUUUCUAUUCAUAAGCCUAUUUUUAAUCCUACUUAUUUGGCUUUUUUGGCUAACUUCUCUUUGAUCCAUGAGCCCAAAAGUUAUUAUCAGGCUAAGCAUAACCCUUAUUGGGUCGAUGCCAUGGAAAAGGAAUUGCAUGCUUUGGAAAAUAAUGGUACUUGGCGGCUUACCUCCCUUCCUUCUCAUAAAAAAGCCAUACAGUCGAAAUGGGUUUACAAAGUCAAAUAUAAUCCAGAUGGCACCGUUGAUCGCUACAAGGCUAGGCUUGUAGCCAAGGGGUACAACCAACUUCCUGAGCUUGAUUAUACAGCCAGCUUUUCCCCUGUUGCCAAGACAGUCACUGUUCGAUUAUUCUUGGCACUAUCUGCUGCCUGCAAUUGGCCCAUUCAUCAGCUCGAUAUUAAUAAUGUGUACCUUCAUGGGUACAUUGAUGAAGAAUUAUACAUGCAGCCUCCAGAAGGGUAGACCAAGGCAAAACAUGGGCAUGUUUGUUGCUUGAUUAAGUCACUUUACGGUCUGAAACAGGUUGGCCGUCAAUGGAACAAGGAGCUUACUUCGAAGCUUUGUUCCUAUGGUUUUCAACAAUCCACUCAUGAUAAUUGCUUAUUUACAAUGGGUACACAAGAUUCUUUUCUCGCUCUGCUUGAAUACGCUGAUGAUGUCCUUAUAACAGGGGUGGAUUACUCCAAAAUCAUUCACGUGAAGCAAUUCUUGGAUCAGUCCUUUACUAUUAAAGACCUCGGCAAUGCAAAAUAUUUCUUGGGGGUGGAAAUUGCAAGGUCUUCUGAUGGCUUAUUUCUUAGUCAACGAAAGUAUAUAUUGGAUAUUCUUAGUGAUGCUGGGAUGUUAAACGCCAAAUGAAAAGAGUUUCCUAUGUCCAAAGGUUUGAAACUUGAUGACCAUACUGGUGAUCCACUUCCUGAACCAGAGGUAUAUCGUCGUUUGGUGGGUAGGUUACUCUACCUGGGCCUUACACGCCCUGAUACAUCUUAUGUGGUUCAACACUUAAGCCAGUUUUUACAUCUCCCAUGUAAGCCUCACUGGGACGCACUUAUGGCUUUACUUCGGUACCUCAAAGGCUCUCCAGCCAAGGGGCUAUUUUUCCCUGUUAAUGUCCCUCUCAAUAUUUCUGCAUAUUGUGACGCAGAUUGGGCCACUUGCCCUAUGACACGAAAAUCCCUUACGGGAUAUUAUAUUUUCUUAGGGACAUCUCUUAUCUCUUGGAAGUCAAAAAAACAAAUAACAGUUAGUCGAUCCUCUGCUGAAGCUGAGUAUCGUAGUAUGGCGACUACUGUUUGUGAGCUGCAAUGGUUGUCUUAUUUGUUGCAGGAUUUACAAGUUCAAGUUUCACAACCUAUU